AAUAUAUUAGUUUCACCUAGAAUUUUGUUAUGUGGUGACAAUUUUUUAGUAUUUGGCUUGCU
rnacentral:tRNA from 1 species